rnacentral:tRNA from 1 species
GGGAAAUUAGUCUAAUUAAAGACAGUUGAUUUCGACUCAUCUAACUAUGGUUCAAACCCAUAAUUUCCUU